AGGCUUUUGCUCAUGUAUCCAAGUUGCUGUCACAGUGUAAAUUUGAUCUGUUGGAAGAACUUGUGGCCAAAGAGGUGCUACAUGCAUUGAAAGAAAAGGUUACUUCACUACCUGACAACCAUAAAAAUGCCCUUGCUGCUAACAUAGAUGAAAUUGUAUUUACAUCAACAGGAGACAUCUCCAUUUACUAUGAUGAGAAAGGUUUCAGAGGGAGUUCACACAAGGAGUAAAGCCUGACUGGACCAUUGCACGGAUUGAACACUCAAAAUUAUUAGAAUAAUUUUCUUGGAAAAAUCAGCUUAUGG
rnacentral:sRNA from 1 species